GGAAUGGAGCUUUAAAUCAGGAGCUACCUGUGAUAACUGACAGCCUUCACUCAAACAGGGAUUCAGGACAUACAAGCAAGCAGUGGAGAAAAGGAGAGGGAAUUGCAGGAAAUGGAUGUGUGCAAACUCGCCCUAAUUUAUGUAAAUACGGAGGCGGAAGAGUUUCACUUCAUUGUUACAAAUUAAAAGUUCCCUGACAUUUCCAAUUAGCUGGAGAGAAAAGCAACACAACUAUAAAUACAUCACAAAGCUGCAAAGUCUGCUCUGGCAUGAACAGCACGCUCCCAUCGCGACACCCAACGGGCCAGAUAAAAGUUUUGUGGUGUUAUUUAAGCAAAAGCCCAUUUUGGCAUCAGAGCUGGCAGAAAUACUGAGAGCUUCAUUUCUCCCC